AUAAAAUGAGGUCCCUGAUAGGUUCUCUUGCAGUAAUUUUAUCAUUUCUCUAUAGAUGUUGACAGUUUCUAAAGUCCUACCAGGCAUUUUUUCUAAGUGACCUUAUUUGGGAGGAAAAAGGAAUAUGUGUCAGAAGGGAAAAAAUGUAGUGGAACAGGAAGGAAAGGGAGGGAUACUAUUUUGCUACUCCAAAGUAAUUGAUAGAGGAUUCCUUUGGAGGGAGGAGUGGAGAGGGAAUUUUUGCAGUUGUUUUCCAUUCUACUGCUUUAAAUCAUUACCUUUCAUUUAAACUCAUUUAAAUGUCUACUUUUUUCUGAUGGAUUCCACUCUUUCUGGUCAAAAGUAUUGAGGGGAAUUUGAAAGACAAGUCAUCAGGUAGGCCUGGAUUUGAUCCCAACAAUAGUUACUGACUUCUAGAGCUAAAUCACAUGCAGAGAUCAUUAGAUAUAAGGUGGGAACCAGGAAUCUGCAUUUUAACAAAUUCCUGAAAUAAUUGUGUUCAUGCAGAUGGACCUUGAACCACAAUUCAAGACACACUGUUACAGAGAAACAACUCUUAGAGCUUUUAUUCUCACUGCAAUCUUUUACUUGAGGAUUUGGUUAAGAUCUAAAAUGACGUCUGAAAGACAGAUGCUUGCUGUGUUAGAAUCAUGUCUCCUAGUUCACUGCCUUUGGACCCAAGAUGUCCACCUUGAGUUCUGUUUCCUUAGCUUAGUGGUUCUUAACCCCAGCUGCACAUUAAGGUCCCCUAGGAUACUUUAAAAGAAAAUACCGGUGUCUGCACUUCACCUCCAGAAAUUCUGAUUUAAUUGCUCUGGAGUGGGGCCUAGAUGGCCUCAGUGAUGUUAAUGUGCUGCCAGGCUUGGGAGCAGCUGCCUUAAACUGAGUCUGACCCUAGAUGUUUCUUGGUCCUAUUGCAAAUCCUUGUGUCCUUUGCACCCAUCCAAGCCAAUGUGUCUUAAGGUUACAUAUAGUCAGACUCAAGCUGGAGCCCUUGUUGAAAUAUUAUGUAGUGGGGAUUAUUGUAGAGAAACACUUUGAUAGAAAUUGUAACAUAUGUAAUUUUUCAAGAAACUGAUAAGAUUAUUCACCACCCGUAGUCUACUCAGAGGCUACUCACCUGUAGCCAAGUGAGUUUAAUUCCCUUCAAAAUAGUCACUUUGGGGAUUGAGGCAAGUCUUUUUAAGGAUGCUUCAAUUUUUCAAAACCCAUUUGGCCUUUUCUCUGUUUUAGACGUUGCUACUUUGUUUUUAUUUAAAACAUUGCCAUUGCUUUAGAUAGGACCAGUUUAUACUCUAAAAAUCACUGGUUUAACCCAAUACUUUACCUCACAUCUUGUUCUCCAGCUGGGUAACUCAUUCUGUUCACCAGAAAAGACUGUGAUUGGUUGCUAGUUUUGUGUUUCCUUGAAUUGAAUCCCAAUUUAAGGAUAAAUAUUUGCUGCUGCCAAAGUAGGACUUUGAAGAGGCAGCCAGAGGAUGUUUCUCUGCAGGGCAAUAAUUGGGUGUGAAGGGUUUCCAGUUUUUUGUGGUGGAUUAGAGUCUCGGGGAAGACACUCUGAGAUAGAAAAUCCUGAUCAGAACAGGAGUCGAGAGAGAGGAGAGGCCGGUAGGGACAGGGUCAGUUGAAUAUUGGAGCAAUGUUGUUUGAUAAUGAGUUUUGAUUUUCCUUUUCUACAUUGUGAUUCUCUUAAUACCUUCAGAUGUUUGCUACCUAGGUCGGCAAGUAGGUCUGUCAGUAUGACUUGCGUAUGAAAGAGAAAGCUCUUCUGUGUUUAGACAAAGUAAUGCUAGGAACAGGGUGUGGGAACUGAUUAGGAUCCUGUUCUGUGGGAAAUUGGUCCCUAAUGGUAAGAGGGGACAAGCAACUUCUCUGGAGUAGUAGUCUAAAGCUCAGAAGAGUGACAAUCAGGCUUAGUGGCAAUCAGGCUUUGUAAGCAUUCUCAAGAAUCCUUAGGUGCAUUGGGGAGAGAAUUGGCUAACUUACAGACACACAGGCUGAAAGCUUGAGGUAUUUUGUUUGGCUCUUAAAGGCUAGCAAUUUGGAGACAUUGGCUUGCUUAUACCCAUAUCAUAAAAUUCUGUUCACUUAAAAUAUUGAUGUUAAUUCUAUUGGUUGUAAUAAACUCUAUCGUGUGCUUCUGCCCAUAAAUUAUUAUUCAUUUUCCCACUGUUGUUAACCCAGCACCAAGAGAAUACUUACUUACAAAAUAACGCAAAUGCAUGGGGCCCCUCAACGCCAGCCUUCAUGGGGUUGUGAUUCAUUAUUUCCCAGUUGAGUGCACCAGGUGGCGCCAGUGUCACAGGAAUACCCACAAAGAACACUGUGCUGGUGUAUUUUUACCACUUGGGGUCACUUAAGGAUUACCCGACUCCCUUUUUUUUUCAUCUGAGCAAAUCACA
rnacentral:lncRNA from 1 species